GCUGAGUUCUAUUUAAACUAUUCCCUG
rnacentral:tRNA from 1 species